rnacentral:rRNA from 1 species
UACGUAGGCAGCGAGCGUUGUUCGGAAUUACUGGGCGUAAAGGGCGCGCAGGCGGCCGAUCAAGUCAGAUGUGAAAGCCCCGGGCUCAACCUGGGAAUAGCAUUUGGGACUGAUUGGCUAGAGUUCGGGAGAGGAGAGUGGAAUUCCCAGUGUAGAGGUGAAAUUCGUAGAUAUUGGGAAGAACACCGGUGGCGAAGGCGGCUCUCUGGACCGACACUGACGCUGAGGCGCGAAAGCGUGGGGAGCAAACAGG